rnacentral:tRNA from 1 species
GGAGAGGUGCUCGAGUGGUUGAAGAGGCACGCCUGGAAAGCGUGUAAGCUCCUAAAGGGCUUCACGGGUUCGAAUCCCGUCCUCUCCG